AGUAACUGCGAGUGAAGCGGGAAAAGCUCAAAUUUAAAAUCUGGUGGUCUUUGGCCAUCCGAGUUGUAAUUUAGAGAAGCGUCUUCCGCGCUGGACCGUGCACAAGUCUCCUGGAAUGGAGCGUCAUAGAGGGUGAGAAUCCCGUCUUUGGCAUGGACCCCAGGGCUUCUGUGAUGCGCUCUCAAAGAGUCGAGUUGUUUGGGAAUGCAGCUCAAAAUGGGUGGUGAACUCCAUCUAAAGCUAAAUAUUGGCGAGAGACCAAACAGUACGUGAAAUUGUUGAAAGGGAAACGCUUGAAGUCAGUCGCGUCGACCGAGACUCAGCCUUGCCUUGGCUUGGUGUACUUCUCGGCUGACGGGUCAGCAUCAAUUUCGAUCCUUGGAUAAUGGCAAGGGAAAGGUAGCACCUUUACAGGUGUGUUAUAGUCCUCUGUCGCAUGCAAGGGUUGGGAUUGAGGAACUCAGCACGCGCCUUGUCGGUGUCGGGGCCUUUUGGCCUACGUACGUGCUUAGGAUGCUGGCAUAAUGGCUUUAAACGACCCGUCUUGAAACACGGACCAAGGAGUCUAACAUGCACGCGAGUGUUCGGGUGGAAAACCCGUGCGCGUAAUGAAAGUAAAAGUUGGGACCUCUGUCGUGGAGGGCACCGACGCCCGGACCAGACCUUCUGUGACGGCUCUGCGGUAGAGCGUGUAUGUUGGGACCCGAAAGAUGGUGAACUAUGCCUGAAUAGGGUGAAGCCAGAGGAAACUCUGGUGGAGGCUCGUAGCGAUUCUGACGUGCAAAUCGAUCGUCAAAUUUGGGUAUAGGGGCGAAAGACUAAUCGAACCAU
rnacentral:rRNA from 1 species